rnacentral:rRNA from 1 species
CCUACGGGUGGCAGCAGUGAGGAAUAUUGGUCAAUGGACGAGAGUCUGAACCAGCCAAGUAGCGUGAAGGAUGACUGCCCUAUGGGUUGUAAACUUCUUUUAUAUGGGAAUAAAAUGUUCCACGUGUGGGCUUUUGUAUGUUCCCUAUGAAUAAGGAUCGGCUAACUCCGUGCCAGCAGCCGCGGUAAUACGGAGGAUCCGAGAGUUAUCCGGAUUUAUUGGGUUUAAAGGGGUCGUUGGGGGAUUUUUAAGUCAGUUGUGAAAGUUUGCGGCUCAACCGUGAAAUUGCAGUUGAAACUGGCAGUCUUGAGUACAGUAGAGGUGGGCGGAAUUCGUGGUGUAGCGGUGAAAUGCUUAGAUAUCACGAAGAACUCCGAUUGCGAAGGCAGCUCACUGGACUGCAACUGACACUGAGGCUCGAAAGUGUGGGUAUCAAACAGGAUUAGAUACCCUGGUAGUC